rnacentral:rRNA from 1 species
UACGUAGGGUCCAAGCGUUAUCCGGAAUCACUGGGCGUAAAGCGUGCGUAGGUGGAUUGUUAAGUGCGGUGCGAAAUCCUGUGGCUCAACCAUAUGGACUGUAUCGCAUACUGGCAAUCUAGAGGACAUGAGAGGCAAGUGGAAUUACUGGUGUAGCAGUGAAAGUGCGUAGAGAUCAGUAGGAACACCAGACGGCGAAGGCGGGCGAUCUAGGCUGAACACUGACGCGAGGCGCGAAAGCUAGGGGGAGCAAACAGG